rnacentral:rRNA from 1 species
CCUANGGGGGGCAGCAGUGGGGAAUUUUGGACAAUGGGCGAAAGCCUGAUCCAGCCAUUCCGCGUGAGUGAAGAAGGCCUUCGGGUUGUAAAGCUCUUUCGGCAGGAACGAAAUGGUUACGGUUAAUAACUGUGACUUCUGACGGUACCUGAAGAAGAAGCACCGGCUAACUACGUGCCAGCAGCCGCGGUAAUACGUAGGGUGCGAGCGUUAAUCGGAAUUACUGGGCGUAAAGCGUGCGCAGGCGGUUUUGUAAGUCAGAUGUGAAAGCCCCGGGCUUAACCUGGGAAUGGCGUUUGAAGCUACAAGGCUAGAGUGUGUCAGAGGGGGGUAGAAUUCCACGUGUAGCAGUGAAAUGCGUAGAGAUGUGGAGGAAUACCGAUGGCGAAGGCAGCCCCCUGGGAUAACACUGACGCUCAUGCACGAAAGCGUGGGGAGCAAACAGGAUUAGAUACCCCUNUANUC